rnacentral:tRNA from 1 species
UCCCUGUGGUCCAGUGGCUACAACUCUGCACUCCCAACGCAGGGGGCCCAGGUUCAAUCCCUGGUCAGGGAA